rnacentral:misc_RNA from 1 species
GAAAUGCUCAAGAUGCAUCCAGUAACGGAGUUGUAUGACGUAUGUCAAAAGAAGCAUUUGAAAGUGAAAUUCGUGGAUUUGUGGAGAGAAAGCAUGGCUUUCAAUGUGUUCAUAGAUGAUCAGCUCGUGGGAAGAGGAACCUAUGGCCUCAAGAAAGAAAUUGCUCAUAAUAGAGCAGCCAAAGAUGCACUAGACAACAUUGGAAGAAUAUUGGGCGAGAAAGACAGUACAG